rnacentral:rRNA from 1 species
AGAGUUUGAUCCUGGCUCAGAGUGAACGCUGGCGGCGUGCCUAAUACAUGCAAGUCGAACGGAAUUUAAGAGAGCUUGCUCUUUUAAAUUUAGUGGCGCACGGGUGAGUAAUAUAUAGCUAAUCUGCCCCUUGCUGGAGGACAACAGUUAGAAAUGACUGCUAAUACUCCAUACUCCUUUUUACCAUAAGAUAAAUCGGGAAAGAAUUUCGGCAAGGGAUGAGACUAUAUCGUAUCAGCUAGUCGGUGGGGUAACGGCCUACCGAGGCUAUGACGCGUAACUGGUCUGAGAGGAUGAUCAGUCACAUUGGAACUGAGACACGGUCCAAACUCCUACGGGAGGCAGCAGUAGGGAAUAUUGCGCAAUGGGGGAAACCCUGACGCAGCAACGCCGCGUGGAGGAUGACACUUUUCGGAGCGUAAACUCCUUUUGUUAGGGAAGAAUAAUGACGGUACCUAACGAAUAAGCACCGGCUAACUCCGUGCCAGCAGCCGCGGUAAUACGGAGGGUGCAAGCGUUAUCCGGAUUUAUUGGGUUUAAAGGGUCCGUAGGCGGGCUGAUAAGUCAGUGGUGAAAUCCUGCAGCUUAACUGUAGAACUGCCAUUGAUACUGUUAGUCUUGAGUAUAUUUGAAGUAGCUGGAAUAAGUAGUGUAGCGGUGAAAUGCAUAGAUAUUACUUAGAACACCAAUUGCGAAGGCAGGUUACUAAGAUAAGACUGACGCUGAUGGACGAAAGCGUGGGGAGCGAACAGGAUUAGAUACCCUGGUAGUCCACGCUGUAAACGAUGCUGACUCGUUUUUGGUUUUUAGGGAUCAGAGACUAAGCGAAAGUGAUAAGUCAGCCACCUGGGGAGUACGACCGCAAGGUUGAAACUCAAAGGAAUUGACGGGGGCCCGCACAAGCGGUGGAUUAUGUGGUUUAAUUCGAUGAUACGCGAGGAACCUUACCAAGACUUAAAUGGGAAUUGACAGCUGUAGAAAUACGGUUUUCUUCGGACAAUUUUCAAGGUGCUGCAUGGUUGUCGUCAGCUCGUGCCGUGAGGUGUUAGGUUAAGUCCUGCAACGAGCGCAACCCCUGUCACUAGUUGCCAUCAUUCAGUUGGGGACUCUAGUGAGACUGCCUGCGCAAGCAGAGAGGAAGGUGGGGAUGACGUCAAAUCAUCACGGCCCUUACGUCUUGGGCCACACACGUAAUACAAUGGCCGGUACAGAGGGCAGCUACUAUGUGAAUAGAUGCGAAUCUCGAAAGCCGGUCUCAGUUCGGAUUGGAGUCUGCAACUCGACUCUAUGAAGCUGGAAUCGCUAGUAAUCGCGCAUCAGCCAUGGCGCGGUGAAUACGUUCCCGGGCCUUGUACACACCGCCCGUCAAGCCAUGGAAGUUCGGGGUACCUGAAGUCGGUGACCGUAAAAGGAGCUGCCUAGGGUAAAACGAGUAACUAGGGCUAAGUCGUAACAAGGUAGCCGUACCGGAAGGUGCGGCUG